AGGCUUAACACAUGCAAGUCGAGGGGCAGCAUGGUCUUAGCUUGCUAAGGCCGAUGGCGACCGGCGCACGGGUGAGUAACACGUAUCCAACCUGCCGUCUACUCUUGGACAGCCUUCUGAAAGGAAGAUUAAUACAAGAUGGCAUCAUGAGUCCGCAUGUUCACAUGAUUAAAGGUAUUCCGGUAGACGAUGGGGGUGCGUUCCAUUAGAUAGUAGGCGGGGUAACGGCCCACCUAGUCUUCGAUGGAUAGGGGUUCUGAGAGGAAGGUCCCCCACAUUGGAACUGAGACACGGUCCAAACUCCUACGGGAGGCAGCAGUGAGGAAUAUUGGUCAAUGGGCGAGAGCCUGAACCAGCCAAGUAGCGUGAAGGAUGACUGCCCUAUGGGUUGUAAACUUCUUUUAUAAAGGAAUAAAGUCGGGUAUGGAUACCCGUUUGCAUGUACUUUAUGAAUAAGGAUCGGCUAACUCCGUGCCAGCAGCCGCGGUAAUACGGAGGAUCCGAGCGUUAUCCGGAUUUAUUGGGUUUAAAGGGAGCGUAGAUGGAUGUUUAAGUCAGUUGUGAAAGUUUGCGGCUCAACCGUAAAAUUGCAGUUGAUACUGGAUAUCUUGAGUGCAGUUGAGGCAGGCGGAAUUCGUGGUGUAGCGGUGAAAUGCUUAGAUAUCACGAAGAACUCCGAUUGCGAAGGCAGCCUGCUAAGCUGCAACUGACAUUGAGGCUCGAAAGUGUGGGUAUCAAACAGGAUUAGAUACCCUGGUAGUCCACACGGUAAACGAUGAAUACUCGCUGUUUGCGAUAUACUGCAAGCGGCCAAGCGAAAGCGUUAAGUAUUCCACCUGGGGAGUACGCCGGCAACGGUGAAACUCAAAGGAAUUGACGGGGGCCCGCACAAGCGGAGGAACAUGUGGUUUAAUUCGAUGAUACGCGAGGAACCUUACCCGGGCUUAAAUUGCAGAUGAAUUACGGUGAAAGCCGUAAGCCGCAAGGCAUCUGUGAAGGUGCUGCAUGGUUGUCGUCAGCUCGUGCCGUGAGGUGUCGGCUUAAGUGCCAUAACGAGCGCAACCCUUGUUGUCAGUUACUAACAGGUUCCGCUGAGGACUCUGACAAGACUGCCAUCGUAAGAUGUGAGGAAGGUGGGGAUGACGUCAAAUCAGCACGGCCCUUACGUCCGGGGCUACACACGUGUUACAAUGGGGGGUACAGAGGGCCGCUACCACGCGAGUGGAUGCCAAUCCCCAAAACCUCUCUCAGUUCGGACUGGAGUCUGCAACCCGACUCCACGAAGCUGGAUUCGCUAGUAAUCGCGCAUCAGCCACGGCGCGGUGAAUACGUUCCCGGGCCUUGUACACACCGCCCGUCAAGCCAUGGGAGCCGGGGGUACCUGAAGUGCGUAACCGCGAGGAGCGCCCUAGGGUAAAACUGGUGACUGGGGCUAAGA
rnacentral:rRNA from 1 species